rnacentral:misc_RNA from 1 species
GGAAAAGAGAUUUUGCACAAAAUGAAAGCUAAAGUUGGUUUAGGUUCAUCUUCAGCGGAAACUGGAAAAGGAAAGAGUAAGAUGUCAGGCAAACAUAUCAAACACGGGUACCACUUGGUAAAGGGGAAAUCAACACAUCCAAUGGAGGACUAUCUGGUGGCCGAGUUUAGGCAUGUGGGUGACUAUGAAUUGGGUUUAUAUGCGAUCUUCGAUGGCCAUUU